GGCUAAUACCGCAUAGGAAGUUUGUUCGCAUGAACAAACUUAGAAAGAUGGCUCUGCUAUCACUUAUCGAUGGCCUUGCGGUGCAUUAACUAGUUGGCGAGGUAACGGCUCACCAAGGUGAUGAUGCAUAGCCGACCUGAGAGGGUAAUCGGCCACAUUGGGACUGAGACACGGCCCAAACUCCUACGGGAGGCAGCAGGC
rnacentral:rRNA from 1 species